GACGAACGCUGGCGGCGUGCUUAACACAUGCAAGUCGAACGGAAAGGCCCCCUUGUGGGGUACUCGAGUGGCGAACGGGUGAGUAACACGUGAGUAACCUACCCUUGACUUUGGGAUAACUUCAGGAAACUGGGGCUAAUACCGGAUAGGAGCUACUGCUGCAUGGUGGGGGUUGGAAAGUUUCGGCGGUUGGGGAUGGACUCGCGGCUUAUCAGCUUGUUGGUGGGGUAGUGGCUCACCAAGGCCUUGACGGGUAGCCGGCCUGAGAGGGUGACCGGCCACAUGAGGACUGAGAUACGGCCCAGACUCCUACGGGAGGCAGCAGUGGGGAAUAUUGCACAAUGGGCGGAAGCCUGAUGCAGCAACGCCGCGUGCGGAAUGACGGCCUUCGGGUUGUAAACCGCUUUCGCCUGUGACGAAGCGUGAGUGACGGUAAUGGGUAAAGAAGCACCGGCUAACUACGUG
rnacentral:rRNA from 1 species